rnacentral:rRNA from 1 species
UACGGAGGGUGCAAACGUUGCUCGGAAUUAUUGGGCGUAAAGCGCACGUAGGCGGCUCGUUAAGUCGGAUGUGAAAUCCCUCGGCUCAACCGAGGAAGUGCAUCCGAAACUGGCGAGCUUGAGUACGGAAGAGGGUCUCGGAAUUCCCGGUGUAGAGGUGAAAUUCGUAGAUAUGGGGAGGAACACCGGUGGCGAAGGCGGCCACCUGGACGGUCACUGACGCUGAGACGCGAAAGCGUGGGGAGCAAACAGG